GGAAGACCAGAAAAUUAGGCUUGAGGGUCUCCUAGCUAGGAACUCACUCAGGGUUAUGCCACAGAAAUGAUUAGAAGACAUCACUGCCUCUGUCACUGUCCCUGGACUCAGACCCAGCAGCCAGUAUCUACCACCCCCAACACUACCUCUAGGUUGGUUGGGAGCCCUGAACACACUGAGUCUGCCCCAAGCAAGAUGAGCAGUUCUCACCUUAUGGCCACCUCUUCACUUCCUGCUGGGGCCUUCCAGCAUGGCUCAUAGAGUGAUCACUGGCUUCACUUCCUUUGGCUGAAGCUCAUCUGCCAUAUCUUCUUUGAAAGCAAAGAAGCUAUUUUAAUAAAGCCCAAGGAGGUUAGCAAGAAAUUAUUUCUGCUCUGGAAUAUGGGCUCUGUUGUCACAUCAUCUAAGAGAACCUACAAAUCUAGACUUUUGUGUAAAUUUGAAAAUUAUUCCAGUCUUGCAUCUUAAUCUUCAGUUUGUAAUCCUUAAGGGAACUCAAAUCUUAGUCCAAGAAGAGGCCUUUAAAAAAAAGGGCAUUUCUGCCCCCCACCCCCACCCCAUCUGCUCUUCUUGCCUCGUUUAAUAACACCUUACUUCUCACAAACCCCUUCUGAUGUUGUCCAUCUCACUAGGCCAAGGAAACCCAGCUAUGCUCCCAGGAACAUCAAGAGAUUGCUUCCUUACCACCCCCUGACCCCUUACCUACUCCUGUGCCCCAACACUGCAG
rnacentral:lncRNA from 1 species